UGGGCACUCUAAGGAGACUGCCGGUGACAAACCGGAGGAAGGUGGGAUGACGUCAAGUCAUCACUGGCCUUACGGCCUGGGCUACACACGUGCUACAAUGGUCGGUACAAAGGGUUGCCAAGCCGCGAGGUGGAGCUAAUCCCAUAAAAACCGAAUCGUAGUCCGGAUCGCAGUCUGCAACUCGACUGCGUGAAGUCGGAAUCGCUAGUAAUCGUGAAAUCAGAAUGUCACGGUGAAUACGUUCCCGGGCCUU
rnacentral:rRNA from 1 species